CUUGGUCAUUUAGAGGAAGUAAAAGUCGUAACAAGGUUUCCGUAGGUGAACCUGCGGAAGGAUCAUUAAAGUAUAUUGAAUUUACAUUCAUAUCAACCCACUCUGUGUACCUUCUUACUGUUGCUUCCAUGGGACUUGGCUAUGCCACGUCGGCCUUCGGGCUGGUGAGCGCCCAUGGGAGGAAAUCAAAACUCUUUUUUAUACGUGACGUCUGUCUGAACUGUUUAUUAUAAACGUUAAAACUUUCAACAACGGAUCUCUUGGUUCUCGCAUCGAUGAAGAACGCAGCGAAAUGCGAUAAGUAGUGUGAAUUGCAGAAUUCAGUGAAUCAUCGAAUCUUUGAACGCACAUUGCGCCUCCUGGUAUUCCGGGAGGCAUGCCUGUUCGAGCGUCAUCAAAAACCUCAGUCUCUGAUUUAUCAUAGAUUGGUUCUGCAUCGGAUGCCUUGUGCAUCCCCUGCGAAAUCCAAUGGCGAAGAGCCACGCAGCCAAAGCGUAGUAUUAAUUUCUCGUGAUGGAUGUGUGAGUGCUUCUGCCGCAACCCCCAUAUCUUAGUUUUUGACCUCGGAUCAGGUAGGGAUACCCGCUGAACUUAAGCAUAUCAAUAAGCGGAGGA
rnacentral:misc_RNA from 1 species